GGCGUGCCUAAUACAUGCAAGUCGAGCGGACAGAUGGGAGCUUGCUCCCUGAUGUUAGCGGCGGACGGGUGAGUAACACGUGGGUAACCUGCCUGUAAGACUGGGAUAACUCCGGGAAACCGGGGCUAAUACCGGAUGGUUGUCUGAACCGCAUGGUUCAGACAUAAAAGGUGGCUUCGGCUACCACUUACAGAUGGACCCGCGGCGCAUUAGCUAGUUGGUGAGGUAACGGCUCACCAAGGCGACGAUGCGUAGCCGACCUGAGAGGGUGAUCGGCCACACUGGGACUGAGACACGGCCCAGACUCCUACGGGAGGCAGCAGUAGGGAAUCUUCCGCAAUGGACGAAAGUCUGACGGAGCAACGCCGCGUGAGUGAUGAAGGUUUUCGGAUCGUAAAGCUCUGUUGUUAGGGAAGAACAAGUGCCGUUCAAAUAGGGCGGCACCUUGACGGUACCUAACCAGAAAGCCACGGCUAACUACGUGCCAGCAGCCGCGGUAAUACGUAGGUGGCAAGCGUUGUCCGGAAUUAUUGGGCGUAAAGGGCUCGCAGGCGGUUUCUUAAGUCUGAUGUGAAAGCCCCCGGCUCAACCGGGGAGGGUCAUUGGAAACUGGGGAACUUGAGUGCAGAAGAGGAGAGUGGAAUUCCACGUGUAGCGGUGAAAUGCGUAGAGAUGUGGAGGAACACCAGUGGCGAAG
rnacentral:rRNA from 1 species